rnacentral:lncRNA from 1 species
GCCCGUCCUGGGGUGCGGCGUGCUCAAGUUCGAGCCUUCCUCCAUUGUUGCAUAUAAGAUGUUUGUUGAAAUGUUAAAGAGAGAGAGGAGAAAGAAGAAGUUUGAUGUGGGCCCUACAUGUCAUAACGGUCAACAUACCGGUCAAAAUAAACGUCGUUGACUUUUCAGUGACAUCAGCCUUGACGAAUGGGUUUUGUUUGUCAUAAACGCGUUUAAAUCCUUUAAAA